rnacentral:rRNA from 1 species
UAGAUAAGGAAAAAAGCGUAACAAGGUCUCCGUUGGUGAACCAGCGGAGGNAUCAUUACUGAGUUUACGCUCUACAACCCUUUGUGAACAUACCUAUAACUGUUGCUUCGGCGGGUAGGGUCUCCGCGACCCUCCCGGCCUCCCGCCUCCGGGCGGGUCGGCGCCCGCCGGAGGAUAACCAAACUCUGAUUUAACGACGUUUCUUCUGAGUGGUACAAGCAAAUAAUCAAAACUUUUAACAACGGAUCUCUUGGUUCUGGCAUCGAUGAAGAACGCAGCGAAAUGCGAUAAGUAAUGUGAAUUGCAGAAUUCAGUGAAUCAUCGAAUCUUUGAACGCACAUUGCGCCCGCCAGCAUUCUGGCGGGCAUGCCUGUUCGAGCGUCAUUUCAACCCUCAAGCUCUGCUUGGUGUUGGGGCCCUACAGCCGAUGUAGGCCCUCAAAGGUAGUGGCGGACCCUCCCGGAGCCUCCUUUGCGUAGUAACUUUACGUCUCGCACUGGGAUCCGGAGGGACUCUUGCCGUAAAACCCCCCAAUUUUCCAAAGGUUGACCUCGGAUCAGGUAGGAAUACCCGCUGAACUUAAGCAUAUCAAAA